rnacentral:rRNA from 1 species
CGACGGGUGAGUAACGCGUGGAAAACCUGCCGUAUACUGGGGGAUAACACUUAGAAAUAGGUGCUAAUACCGCAUAAGCGCACAGCUUCGCAUGAAGCGGUGUGAAAAACUCUGGUGGUAUACGAUGGUUCCGCGUCUGAUUAGCUAGUUGGUGGGGUAAUGGCCUACCAAGGCAACGAUCAGUAGCCGGCCUGAGAGGGUGAACGGCCACAUUGGGACUGAGACACGGCCAAACUCCUACGGAAGGCAGCAG